GACACGUGGUAUCCUGUCUGAAUAUGGGGGGACCAUCCUCCAAGGCUAAAUACUCCUGACUGACCGAUAGUGAACCAGUACCGUGAGGGAAAGGCGAAAAGAACCCCGGCGAGGGGAGUGAAAAAGAACCUGAAACCGUGUACGUACAAGCAGUGGGAGCCCCACCACUAAGCCAGUGGUGAACUCCACAUACGCAUCCUUUGCUGAGGAUACGGUUAACGGAGCGAAAGCGACGUUCAACCGCAAAAGAAGCAGAGGGGGCUUAGUGGUGGGGUGACUGCGUACCUUUUGUAUAAUGGGUCAGCGACUUAUAUUCUGUAGCAAGGUUAACCGAAUAGGGGAGCCGGAGGGAAACCGAGUCUUAAUUGGGCGUUAAGUUGCAGGGUAUAGACCCGAAACCCGGUGAUCUAGCCAUGGGCAGGUUGAAGGUUGGGUAACACUAACUGGAGGACCGAACCGACUAAUGUUGAAAAAUUAGCGGAUGACCUGUGGCUGGGGGUGAAAGGCCAAUCAAACCGGGAGAUAGCUGGUUCUCCCCGAAAGCUAUUUAGGUAGCGCCUCGUGAAUUCAUCUCCGGGGGUAGAGCACUGUUUCGGCUAGGGGGCCAUCCCGGCUUACCAACCCGAUGCAAACUGCGAAUACCGGAGAAUGUUAUCACGGGAGACACACGGCGGGUGCUAACGUCCGUCGUGAAGAGGGAAACAACCCAGACCGCCAGCUAAGGUCCCAAAGUCAUGGUUAAGUGGGAAACGAUGUGGGAAGGCCCAGACAGCCAGGAUGUUGGCUUAGAAGCAGCCAUCAUUUAAAGAAAGCGUAAUAGCUCACUGGUCGAGUCGGCCUGCGCGGAAGAUGUAACGGGGCUAAACCAUG
rnacentral:rRNA from 1 species